rnacentral:rRNA from 1 species
CACCGCGGUCAUACGAUUAACCCUAGUUAAUAAAUUACGGCGUAAAGCGUGAUUAAGGUAAACUAAACAAUAAGACUAAGCCCAAACUAAGCUGUAAAAAGCCCUAGUUAUAAUAAAAAUAAUACACGAAAGUAGUCUUAAAAUUCCUGAAUUCACGACAGCUAAGACC